CCCUGGUGGUUCAAAUGGUAAAGAAUCUUGCCUGCAGUGUGAGAGACUCUGGUUUGAUUCCUGGGCCAGGGA
rnacentral:tRNA from 1 species